GACGAACGCUGGCGGCGUGCUUAACACAUGCAAGUCGAACGGAAAGGCCCUGCUUUUGUGGGGUGCUCGAGUGGCGAACGGGUGAGUAACACGUGAGUAACCUGCCCUUGACUUUGGGAUAACUUCAGGAAACUGGGGCUAAUACCGGAUAGGAGCUCCUGCUGCAUGGUGGGGGUUGGAAAGUUUCGGCGGUUGGGGAUGGACUCGCGGCUUAUCAGCUUGUUGGUGGGGUAGUGGCUUACCAAGGCUUUGACGGGUAUCCGGCCUGAGAGGGUGACCGGCCACAUUGGGACUGAGAUACGGCCCAGACUCCUACGGGAGGCAGCAGUGGGGAAUAUUGCACAAUGGGCGGAAGCCUGAUGCAGCAACGCCGCGUGCGGGAUGACGGCCUUCGGGUUGUAAACCGCUUUCGCCUGUGACGAAGCGUGAGUGACGGUAAUGGGUAAAGAAGCACCGGCUAACUACGUG
rnacentral:rRNA from 1 species